rfam:Picea glauca, whole genome shotgun sequence.
AAUUAUUGGUCUUCAACGAGGAAUUCCUAGUAAGCGCGUGUCAUCAGCUCGUGUUGACUACGUCCCUGCCCUUUGUACACACAGCCCGUCGCUCCUACCGAUUGAAUUAUCCAGUGAAGUGUUCAGAUCGCGUCAACGAGGGUGGUUUGCCACCGAUGAUGUCGUGAGAAGUUCACUGAACCUUAUCAUUUAGAGGAAGGAGAAGUCGUAACAAGGUUACCGUAGGUGAACCUGCAGUAGGAUCAUUG